rnacentral:rRNA from 1 species
UACGUAGGGUGCGAGCGUUAAUCGGAAUUACUGGGCGUAAAGCGUGCGCAGGCGGUUUUGUAAGCCAGAUGUGAAAUCCCCGGGCUUAACCUGGGAAUGGCAUUUGGGACUGCAAGGCUUGAGUGCGGCAGAGGAGACUGGAAUUCCUGGUGUAGCAGUGAAAUGCGUAGAUAUCAGGAGGAACACCAGUGGCGAAGGCGAGUCCCUGGACGAUACCUGACACUGAGGCACGAAAGCCGGGGGAGCAAACAGG